AAAUAAUAAUUAGUGCUACCAAUGAUGGAUUAUAUGAACCCGGGGGUCUGGAUUAUACAACCCGUAUAUG